rnacentral:rRNA from 1 species
GUAAAUAAUAAAGGGCGUAUGGUGGAUGCCUAGGCUCUCAGAGGCGAUGAAGGACGUGAUAAGCUGCGAAAAGCUCCGUUUAGGUGCAAAUAACCUUUGAUGCGGAGAUCUCCGAAUGGGAUAACCCAAUAUGUUGAAGACAUAUUAUACCGUAAGGUAGGCAAACGCAGGGAACUGAAACAUCUAAGUACCUGCAGGAGAAGAAAACAAACGUGAUUCCCCCAGUAGCGGCGAGCGACCGGGGAUAAGCCCAAACCGUUAUUGUUUCGGCAGUAGCGGGGUAGUAGGACUGCGACAUUGAUGAAAUAAAUGAAAUGGAACACCUUGGAAAAUGUGAUCACAGAGGGUGAUAAUCCCGUACAUGUAAGUUUAUGAAUCAUAGCAGACUCCUGAGUAAGUCGGGACACGUGUAAUCCUGACCGAAUCCGCCGGGACCAUCCGGCAAGGCUAAAUACUCCUGAGAGACCGAUAGUGAACCAGUACCGUGAGGGAAAGGUGAAAAGCACUUCGAACAGAAGAGUGAAAUAGUCCCUGAACCCAUACGCCUACAAGCAGUCGGAGCCGCUUCGUGCGGUGACGGCGUGCCUUUUGCAUAAUGAGCCUACGAGUUACUCAUCACCAGCGAGGUUAAGUACUUCAGGUACGUAAGCCGAAGCGAAAGCGAGUCUGAAUAGGGCGUCAAGUUGGUGGUGGUAGACGCGAAACCUUAGUGAUCUACCCAUGGGCAGGGUGAAGGUUUGGUAACACAAACUGGAGGCCCGAACCGGUAAACGUUGAAAAGUUUUCGGAUGACCUGUGGGUAGGGGUGAAAGGCCAAUCAAACUGGGAAAUAGCUCGUACUCUCCGAAAUGCAUUUAGGUGCAGCCUCUGUUGUUUUGUUCUAGAGGUAGAGCUACUGAUUGGAUGCGAGGGCUUCACCGCCUAUCAAAUCCGGCCAAACUCCGAAUGCUAGAACAUGAAGACAGGGAGUGAGCCAGCGGGUGCUAAGGUCCGUUGACGAAAGAGGGAGAACUCAGACCAUCAGCUAAGGUCCCCAAUUAUAUGCUAAGUUGGAAUAAAAACGGGGUGGGACUGCUUAGACAGCUAGGAUGUUGGCUUGGAAGCAGCCAUUCAUUUAAAGAGUGCGUAACAGCUCACUAGUCGAGCGGUCCUGCAUGGAUAAUACGCGGGCAUAAGCAUAUAACCGAAGCUAUGGGAUUGUAGAUGAUACAAUCGGUAGGAGAGCAUUCCAUUCAGCAUAGAAGCAGUAUCGUGAGGUAUUGUGGAGCGGAUGGAAAAGCAAAUGUAGGCAUAAGUAACGAUAAUGCGGGUGAGAACCCCGCACGCCGAAAGAUCAAGGAUUCCCCGGCAAUGUCAAUCAUCCGGGGGUAAGUCGGAUCCUAAGGGUAAGCCGAGUGGCGAUCCCGAUGGUAAACAGGUUAAUAUUCCUGUACUGAUCAUAACUGCGAUGCAGCGACGCAGAGGUGACACUGCUGCGUACUGACGGAAUAGUACGUUGAAACCCGUAUUCUUUGAUACCGGUAGUGAAGCACGCCGGUAGAGAUGAAAGGUGAUAGUACCGCAAUGCUUCGGUUGCGCGGAUAAUGCAGGUAAGCUGACUGCCAAGAAAACCUGCUAAGCUUCAGGUAAUGAUCAUCCGUACUGUAAACGGACACACGUGAUCAGGUAGAAAAUACUAAGGCGCUCGAGAGAUUCAUGGUUAAGGAACUAGGCAAAAUGGUCCUGUAACUUCGGGAUAAAGGACGCUCUUGUGAAAGAGCCGCAGAUAAUAGGCCCAGGCGACUGUUUACCAAAAACACAUGGCUAUGCUAAUUCGCAAGAAGAUGUAUAUGGCCUGACACCUGCCCGGUGCCGGAAGGUUAAGAGGAGAGCUCAGAGGUAACUCGAAGGUUUGAAUUGAAGCCCCGGUAAACGGCGGCCGUAACUAUAACGGUCCUAAGGUAGCGAAAUUCCUUGUCGGGUAAGUUCCGACCUGCACGAAUGG